rnacentral:rRNA from 1 species
GAUCAUGGCUCAGGAUGAACGCUAGCGGCAGGCCUAACACAUGCAAGUCGAGGGGCAGCACGGUGUAGCAAUACACUGGUGGCGACCGGCGCACGGGUGCGUAACGCGUAUGCAGCCUACCCAUAACAGGGGGAUAACACUGAGAAAUUGGUACUAAUACCCCAUAACAUCAGGACCGGCAUCGGUUCUGGUUGAAAACUCCGGUGUUAUGGAUGGGCAUGCGUUGUAUUAGGCUUGGG